GGAAGCUUGCUUUGGUAUCCCGUAUCUCUCCGCUCUUAUUUGUCGUUUUUAUUUAGAAAACCACAAACAAAUCUGAAAAUUGAAAAGCACAAACAAAUUAAAAAUUUAAAAUCCAAAAAUAGUAGUUAGAAUUAAAUAUGUGUUGCAUCAUGCAUUUUUACACUUAGGGCACAUCAUUUAGAUUUUAAUUUUUGUUUUUAAAUUUUCGUACCUUUAAUUGUGGUGAUCGCUGGAGGACCCAAAGGUACGUUAAUUUUCUUUUUUUCUCUAGAUAAAACACGUAGUUUAGAGCAUCCAUAAUUGUUUACCGCUUUUAUUAUCUCGUUGUGUGGUGCAUCAUUUUAAAUAAAUCUUAAGGGCAAAACCCACUCACAAGAUAAGGGAAGGGAUUUCAUCACUCUUUCCUUGGCCCACAACAACUAAUUUCAACAUUUUGCAUUUCCCUAGCCUUUUAAUAAAAUUGAAUUAGACGUUAGCCCCUAGGAUUUCGCGCUCAACUAGGAAGGUACCUAAAAGACGAGGUAAUCUUUAAUUAUUCCGACUUUUCGGUGUCUAAGGCAAGCGAAAGCUUACCUGGCCGAUUAAGGUUUGGUGUCUAAGCGCGGAGAUUGGCCUCUUGGCAAUGCCUGCUCCAAACUGGCCAAACCGGUCCGAAUAAUUUUGGAUUUAUCGAGUUUUUGGUGGUCCUUAACGUUAGGAGCAAGGUCUAGUUCAUUUUUUUAGGGAACCCUAGAUUUAGGUUUUUCUUUCUCUUUUACACCCUUUCUUUUGUGUGUUUUAAUUUUUCGCACUUACUUGCUACGUGUUUACUAUCUAGUUUAUGCGAACUACUUGGGUUAGGAACGAAUCGUCUAGAUUAGUAAGACCUAUAAUCGAGAUUCCCUCGUCCUCUUCGGAUUCCGAAACCCUAGAAGUUCUAGAACCGAUAGUAAACAUGGCCCUUUCACUCAAGGAUCGUUGUUAUCCAUCUCGUUCAAGUCAACCUUCGUGCAUCACCCUUCCUCCCGUUAAUGGGAACAAUUUUGAAAUCAAAGCUCACCACAUUAGCAUGUUACCUAAAUUUACCGGGAGUGAGGGUGAGGAUCCUUAUCUUUUUAUCCAAGAGUUCGAGGAAGUUUGUUCCCUCCAAAAGCUCCACCAAUUAACGGAAGAUUCGAUUAGACUUAGGCUCAUUAAUUUUGCGCUUAAGGAGAAUGCGAAAAAAUGGUUAUAUAGUCUUCCCGUUAAUUCUAUUUCCACGUGGGAGGGGUUCGUUGUGGUGUUUCUUAAAAAGUAUUUUCCAAAUCAUAAGACUACUCGAAUUACAAAUGAAAUAAAUCAAUUUCAUCAAAAGGAAAAUGAGUCUUUUUGGAUUUUCUUUGACCGCUUCAAAAAUCUUCUCUCACAAUGCCCCCACCACGGAAUAGAAAAAUGGAGACUUUGCAAGAUAGUUUACGAGGCCUUAGAUAGUCAAACCACCGCGUUAUUAGAGUCUAUGUGCCAAGGUAAAUUCAUGGAAAAAGAUGAGGAUCAAGGGUGGGAAUUUUUCGAGGAUUUAGCGGAAAAGACUAUGAUGUGGGAGUCAACUAGGGAGCCCAAAAAGUCAAUUCAGUCAUCUAGCGCUAGGGGCUUGCAUUCGAUAGGAAAUAAUGUGGCAACCGAUGCCAAACUAGCCACCCUAACUAGGAGACUUGAAGCUUUAGAAACUAGUAAAUCUCCCCCACAAAUGUCGAUGCUCCCUAAUUACAAUUUUCAAAAUCCCGGAACCCAACCUUCGCACGAACUUGAACAAGUAAAUGCGAUGUUUCAAAAUUCUAGGAAUGAUGCGUUUGCACCCACUUAUAAUCCCGGGUGGAGAAAUCACCCAAAUUUCUCAUGGACCCAAGGUCAAAAUUGUCAAGUUCCUCAACCCAAUUUUCAAAUGAAUCAAGGGCCAAAUUCUUUUCCAACUCCUCAACAAAAUUUUCAACAAAGGCCCAACCCAAACUCUUACCCAAAUCAAGGUCCAAAUUCAUGUCAUAACCCAAUUCAAACUCCUUUGAAUCCUCCCGGUUUCAAUGAUUCGGAUAAACGCCUCAAUUCUUUAGAAAAGAGUUUGGAAGCCUUAGUUAAAUCGCAAACUAAUUUGACUCAAUCACAACAAACUUUCAUGACAACCCUAACCCAAGAUAGGCAAAUUUUGCAUUCUAAUGUGCAAGCCGUGUCUAAGUUAGAGGCCCAAUUGAGUCAAUUAGCUAGCGCGUUGUGUGAGCGAGAGAAGAACAAGUUGCCAAGUCAACCCGAGGUCAAUCCUAAGUUUCCUCUCAAUCAAAGACCUCCCGAGAAUGUUAAUGCGAUUAUUUCUCUAAGGUCGGGAAAUCAAGUGGAUAACAAAGUUGGUGAGAACGUUAAUGAAAAUGAGGAGUCGAUUCCUAAAACAAAUCCUUCUUUGUCUAGCACUAAUCAUGAUAAGCCCGAAUGUUCUAGAGUCCGUGAGUCUAUGAGUGAACCUAGUCCUGGGCCCAUUUCUCAAAAGCCCAACGAAGAAGUUUAUAAGCCAAAGGUUCCUUACCCACAAAGACUCAUUCGCCCUAAACAAUCGGCCCAAAUGGAACAAAUUCUAGAGGUUUUCAAACAAGUCAAGAUAAACAUUCCUCUUUUAGAUGCCAUUCAACAAGUUCCUUCCUAUGCCAAGUGUCUAAAAGAUUUGUGUACCCAUAAGAGAACCACUAAUGUUCCAAAGAAAGCCUUUUUGACCUCUCAAGUUAGCUCGAUUCUCUCGAAUCAAUUUCCCGUGAAAUAUAAGGACCCCGGUUGUCCUACAAUUUCUUGUGUCAUAGGCAAUACUUUUGUGGAUAAAGCUUUACUUGAUUUAGGAGCGAGUGUGAAUCUUCUUCCUUUCUCGGUCUACCAAUCCCUAGGUUUAGGGGAUCUCAAAACCACCAAUAUGACCCUUCAACUUGCCGAUCGUUCGAUUAAAAUGCCUAAGGGGAUUAUUGAGGAUGUGUUGAUAAAAAUUGGUGAUUUUAUCUUUCCCGUUGACUUUGUUGUUCUCGAGACUCAACCCGUCUCGAAUCCUAAGAACCAAAUUCCUAUAAUUUUAGGACGACCUUUUCUUGCUACAUCCAAUGCCCUAAUUAAUUGUAGGAAUGGUUCAAUGAAACUCACCUUUGGAAACAUGACCAUUGACUUAAACAUUUUCAAUGUAGGAAAAGAACCCAAUGAGCUUUAUGAGCAACCUAUAGGGGUUAAUGUGGUCAACAAGUUUGUCACAUGGUCUAGCUUUGAGGAGUAAAAUCUCCCCACAAAUGUCGAUGCUCCCUAAUUACAAUUUUCAAAAUACCCGGAACCCAACUUUCGCAUGAACUUGAACAAGUAAAAUGCGGUGUUUCAAAAUCCUAGGAAUGAUGCGUUUGCACCCACUUAUAAUCCCGGGUGGAGAAAUCACCCAAAUUUCUCAUGGACCCAAGGUCAAAUUUUUCAAAAUCAAGGGCCAAAUUCUUUUCCAACUCCUCAACCAAAUUUUCAACAAAGGCCCAACCCAAACUCUUACCCAAAUCAAGGUCCAAAUUUAUGUCAUAACCCAAUUCAAACUCCUUUGAAUCCUCCCGGUUUCAAUGAUUCGGAUAAACGCCUCAAUUCCUUAGAAAAAAGUUUGGAAGCCUUAGUUAAAUCGCAAACUAAUUUGACUCAAUCACAACAAACCUUCAUGACAACCCUAACCCAAGAUAGGCAAAUUUUGCAUUCUAAUGUGCAAGCCGUGUCUAAGUUAGAGUCCCAAUUGAGUCAAUUAGCGAGCACGUUAUGUGAGCGAGAAAAGAACAAGUUCCCAAGUCAACCCGAGGUCAAUCCUAAGUUUCCUCUCAAUCAAAGACCUCCCGAGAAUGUUAAUGCGAUCAUCUCUCUAAGGUCGGGAAAUCAAGUGGAUAACAAAGUUGGUGAGAACGUUAAUGAAAAUGAGGAGUCGAUUCCUAAAACAAACCCUUCUUUGUCUAGCACUAAUCAUGACAAACCCGAAUGUUCUAGAGUCCGUGAGUCGAUGAGUGAACCUAGUCCUGGGCCCAUUUCUCAAAAGCCCAACGAAGAAGUUUACAAGCCAAGGGUUCCUUACCCACAAAGACUCAUUCGCCCUAAACAAUCGGCCCAAAUGGAACAAAUCCUAGAGGUUUUUAAGCAAGUCAAGAUAAACAUACCUCUUUUAGAUGCCAUUCAACAAGUUCCUUCCUAUGCCAAGUGUCUAAAAGAUUUGUGUACCCAUAAGAGAACCACUCAUGUUCCAAAGAAAGCCUUUUUGACAUCUCAAGUUAGCUCGAUUCUCUCGAAUCAAAUUCCCGUGAAAUAUAAGGACCCCGGUUGUCCUACAAUUUCUUGUGUCAUAGGCAAUACUUUUGUGGAUAAGGCGUUACUUGAUUUAGGAGCGAGUGUGAAUCUUCUUCCUUUCUCGGUCUAUCAAGCCCUAGGUUUAGGGGAUCUCAAGACCACCAAUAUGACCCUUCAACUUGCCGAUCGUUCCAUUAAAAUGCCAAAGGGAAUUAUUGAGGAUGUGUUAAUCAAAAUCGGUGAUUUUAUCUUUCCCGUUGACUUUGUUGUUCUCGAGACUCAACCCGUCUUUCUUUUAGAUAAUUUGAACGUAGUUGAGUUAGGUUGUCUUUUUGAAGCUUGUAUCGACCGAUUUGUACUCUAAAUUCCAAGAUGGCACACACUUUGCACGAGACCUUUGAUGGAGAGAUUGUCUAGUGAUAUUAUUCGAUACCUGAGAGAGAACCCACAUGUUGAAACAAUUUGUCACAUGGUCUAGUUUUGAGGAUAGUGAGAUUGAGUCUCUUCUCAACGAGGAUUUCAAAGUCAACAACGAGAACAAUAGGCAAUAUCAUGAGUCGUUGAAAGAGUUGACCUCGGAGGAGUUGUUAGGAGAAUUGAACGACAUUUGUUCAAAAUGGGAAACUCCGCCCGAGAUUGUUCGUGUUGACCCUAGGCCCGAUUUAGAGAGUCAUGUAGGUGAAUCACCGACAUUUGACUCAUUGUUCCAUCAUUCAUAUAGCGCCUUAGGAAAAGAUGACACCGUUUCUUGCAUUAUUCCUAGUGAUUUAUCCCAUGACCAAAAUUGCAUAAUCUCUAAUUUGCUUGAUAAUAAAGAAGCAUUAAGUUGGUUUAGGAAGAACAUUAGUGACACUUGUCCUAUAGGGAUGAACGAUUGUCACAUGCUAGAGAAAGUCUUUGUGCCUAAAAAUUUUCGUACACAUUUUGACUCUUUCUCGAAGCUUCCUCCCAUCUUUCCUUCCGGAAUUGGCUGAUUUGCUUCCGUCUUCGAACCUUCCCCCAUGAAGUUCAGGUAUGGGGAAGGAAAUGUGUGCGUGUGUGGGUCGUGUUAGUGUUUCAUUCGUUAAUAAAAAUCCCCUUCAUAUCCAUUUCAGGUAUUUUUCUCUUUACUCUCUCAUUUUAAUUCUCUCUUUUGCAUACAUUGAGGACAAUGCAUGAUUUAGGUAUGGGGAGGGCUUUAGUGUAAUUCUAAAAAAAUGAAAACCCCAAAAAAAUGAAAAAUUAGAAAAAUUCCAAAAAUAGAGAUGUUUUAGCUAAGUUGUCUUUCCCUCACUCGAACUUUAGGAGUAGUUGGUGUUUAGCAUGUUUUCGAAAAGUAUAUAUAUGUAGUGUCUUUUAGAUAAUUUGAACGUAGUUGAGUAAGGUUGUCUUUUUGAAGCUUGUAUCGACCGAUUUGUACUCUAAAUUCCAAGAUGGCACACACUUUGCACGAGACCUUUGAUGGAGAGAUUGUCUAGUGAUAUUAUUCGAUACCUGAGAGAGAACCCACAUGUUGAAACAAUGUCGAAUCGAACCUUUGCGAAUAAAAAAAAGAGAUAAAAAAAAGAUAGAAAAUGUUAGGAGAAUUGAACGACAUUUGUUCAAAAUGGGAAACUCCGCCCAAGAUUGUUCGUGUUGACCCUAGGCCCGAUUUAGAGAGUCAUGUAGGUGAAUCACCGACAUUUGACUCAUUGUUCCAUCAUUCAUAUAGCGCCAUGGGUAACAUUGUUUGCCUAAGAAAACGGACAAAAUAAAGUCAAUGCAAAAAAAAAAAGAGAAAAAAAAAAGAAAAAAGAAAAAAGAAUAAGAGUUUUUGAAGUUUGGCUAGAUAUUUGUCUCGAUAGAGAUUGGGUCAGUUCAAAAUUGGUUGAAAAAGAGAAAGACAUUUUGACUGAAAAAGAGAAAGUGUUCUUAGACAAUUAGGAUCCAUCAAAGGCCUUAAAUUACUUACACUCCUUGGAUUUCUAGUAAAUCUUUGUGUCGAUGCAAGUAGAUUAGAGACAACUGUAUCUUGAUUAUUAGUAGAUGAGUCUUUAAGUCGUAUUUUCCUUAAAAAAAACGCUUUUUGUUUACACCAACGAAAGUAGAGUCGAGUCGAGUAGGACACUUGUUAGAAUGUCUCGAAGAUUUUAUGGGUAUAUCUUCUGUAAACCCUUAGGAGACAAAACUCCUCUUGUAGAGAUCGUCUACGAGUUUAACGGGUUGGUGAACCUAAAAUCACCCGUCACGCCUACGAAAAGGAGCCUAGGAAUCGCAUCUAGUUUUCUUAGUUUAUUUUCUUUUCUUUUGAUUUUUACUCGAGGACGAGCAAAAGAUAGGUAUGGGGAAGUUUGAUUAGUCCAUAUUUUUGCAUAUUUAAGUGCCUAUUUUUUGUUUAUUUUCGUAGUAUUAAUCGCUUAUUUAUUUUAUUUCAGGAAAUUGUAGAUAAAUAAAGAAAGAAGAGAAAAUGCAAGAAAAAGAAGAAAAGGGAAAAGAAAAGAAGAAAAAAAGAGAGUUGGCAACUAAGGGACACAUGGAGGGCCACAAUCUUCCCAACACACAAGGCACAUGGAUGGUCAAGAUUGAGCCACCCUACCCCUAAACCCUAAUUCUUUAGUUAUAAAUACCCCCUUAUCUUUACUUGUAAUCACCAACCUAGCAACCUAGUAACCCUAGCCACCUAC
rnacentral:lncRNA from 1 species